rnacentral:rRNA from 1 species
AACGAACGCUGGCGGCAUGCCUAACACAUGCAAGUCGAACGAGACCUUCGGGUCUAGUGGCGCACGGGUGCGUAACGCGUGGGAACCUGCCCUUAGGUUCGGAAUAACUCCCCGAAAGGGGUGCUAAUACCGGAUAAUGUCUUCGGACCAAAGAUUUAUCGCCUUUGGAUGGGCCCGCGUUGGAUUAGCUAGUUGGUAGGGUAAAAGCCUACCAAGGCGACGAGCCAUAGCUGGGCUGAGAGGAUGAUCAGCCACACUGGGACUGAGACACGGCCCAGACUCCUACGGGAGGCAGCAGUGGGGAAUAUAGGACAAUGGGCGAAAGCCUGGUCCAGCAAUGCCGCGUGAGUGAUGAAGGCCUUAGGGUUGUAAAGCUCUUUUACACGGGAUGAUAAUGACAGUACCGGGAGAAUAAGCUCCGGCUAACUCCGUG